UAGUCUCAUCGCAGCACUGUCACGUAGUGGCAUAACUGUUUGCACUGAGCCUUUGCCGAAACUUUUGGUUCCCACAACUACAGCGCGUUGAUGAUCCUGUAAUGCUCCUGCAACAAUUUCAGAGGCUGACGCAGAGCCACCAUUAAUCAAGACCACGAUAGACUUACCCUGAGCAAGGUCGUCUGGCGAUGCAUUAUACCGAUCGCCAUCCUGAGGGUCUCGGCCUCUAGUCGAAACAAUUUCACCCUUUUCCAAAAAUGCAUCUGAAACCUUGAUAGCCUGUGAUAACAAUCCACCGGGGUUAUUGCGA
rnacentral:ncRNA from 1 species